rnacentral:rRNA from 1 species
AUUGAACGCUGGCGGCAUGCCUUACACAUGCAAGUCGAACGGUAACAGGUCUUCGGAUGCUGACGAGUGGCGAACGGGUGAGUAAUACAUCGGAACGUGCCCGAGAGUGGGGGAUAACGAGGCGAAAGCUUUGCUAAUACCGCAUACGAUCUCAGGAUGAAAGCAGGGGACCGCAAGGCCUUGCGCUCACGGAGCGGCCGAUGGCAGAUUAGGUAGUUGGUGGGAUAAAAGCUUACCAAGCCGACGAUCUGUAGCUGGUCUGAGAGGACGACCAGCCAGACGUGGACUGAGACACGGCCCAGACUCCUACGGGAGUCAGCAGUGGGGAAGUUUGGACAAUGGGCGCGAGCCUGAUCCAGCCAUGCCGCUUGCAGGAUGAAGGGCUUCGGGUUGUAAACUGCUUUUGUACGGAACGAAAAGACUCUGGUUAAUACCUGGGGUCCAUGACGGUACCGUAAGAAUAAGCACCGGCUAACUACGUGCCAGCCGCCGCAGUAAAAC